rnacentral:lncRNA from 10 species
GCCAUUCUUUCUUCAUUUACUUUCCUAAUAAACGUGAUUUCACUUUACUCUAGAGAUUUGCCCCAAAUUCUUUCUUGCAGGAGAUCCAAGAACCCUCUCUUGGAGUCUGUAUCUGGACCCCUUUCUGGUAACACUUUGAUGAAGAAUGCAGCCAUAUUGGAGAGGCCCAGAAAGUAAAAGAAGGAAGUCCCCAGGCCAAUGCCAGCUAGGAACUGAGAACAACAGUUCAACAGACUGCAAGAAAUUGAAUUUUGUCAAAACUACAGAGCUUGGAAGCAGACCUUAGACUCCAGUCUUGGACAACACCUUGACUGCAGCCUUGGGAAAGAUCCUGGCAAGCCACGAUGAGAUCCAUGACUCACAGACAUGAAUCUUGCAGCUCCACAUCUAGAGGAAGAGUCUAUUUCUCCUCCUUUGAACCCAGCUGGAUCACGGUGACUGCAUUACGGUGACUGCAUUAACAAAUAGAAUGCAAUGUGCAAUGGUCAUAAAAGGCAGUCUUACUCAGGAGACUUACCCUUGGAAGCCAGCCAUCAGGUUAUAUGGAAGUCAAAGCUACAUGGAAGGCUGUGUAGGUGUUCAAACUGACAGCCCCAGUUAAAAUUGCAGCUGAAAGCUAACAACCAAAUGACAAGACCGUGAAUGCCUUCAGGUGAUUCCAGAUUCUAGCCUUUGGAAUGAUCCUAGCUGACAGCAAAUGCAGCAGAGACCAUCUAUCACUACCAAGCCCUGCCUAAAGUGCAUAUAUAUGAGCAAAAUAUGCAUCAUCAUUCUUUAAGACACCAAAUUUUGGUGUGAUUUGAGUUGUGUGUUACUAAGCCAUAGUAACUGGAACAGUGGAUUAGUGUUUUUGUUACUAUUGUAUGUGUGUGUGUGCAUGUGUUUUUGGAGAGGAGAGUUUAUGCAUCUAAUCAAAAGUUCAGUUUUCAACAUAGGCAUGAGAGAUACACAAGUUGGUAUGUCAAAUAUGCAGUAGAAUAUAUGAGUUCAAAGUUUAAAGGAAAACUUUAGAACAGAAACAUAGGGAUAUUUGUACAGAUUAUAAGUAAAAUAUGUAAAAUGAGGUUUAGGAGGAAAAAUAGUGUAGA